CAAGCUCAACCUGUGGUUAUUAGCUCCAAAUACAGAAGUCUGCGGGCUGGAGGAAGUGGAGAGGCGUCGCAGCUCUCCCCGCUGCCUGGCGCUCUGAAGGGGGCCUGAGACCGAGCGGAGACCAGCUGCAGAUCGGCUCCGACUGUCCAGGUCUUUAAAUUGACUCCACAACUCCACGAGUAACUGCUGGUUGGCCUUAAAUUACAUAUUUUCAGGAUGAAGGUAAAAGGCUGAGCUGAUGUGAAUACAGCGCCAUGGAUCAGUACGAGGACAAAGAGAGGAGGUUAUUUCAGUC